AACGAACGCUGGCGGCAUGCCUAACACAUGCAAGUCGAACGAGAUCUUCGGGUCUAGUGGCGCACGGGUGCGUAACGCGUGGGAAUCUGCCCUUUGGUUCGGAAUAACAGUUGGAAACGACUGCUAAUACCGGAUGAUGACGAAAGUCCAAAGAUUUAUCGCCAGAGGAUGAGCCCGCGUAGGAUUAGCUAGUUGGUGUGGUAAAGGCGCACCAAGGCGACGAUCCUUAGCUGGUCUGAGAGGAUGAUCAGCCACACUGGGACUGAGACACGGCCCAGACUCCUACGGGAGGCAGCAGUGGGGAAUAUUGGACAGUGGGCGAAAGCCUGAUCCAGCAAUGCCGCGUGAGUGAUGAGGGCCUUAGGGUUGUAAAGCUCUUUUACCCGGGAUGAUAAUGACAGUACCGGGAGAAUAAGCUCCGGCUAACUCCGUGCCAGCCGCCGCCGUAAGAC
rnacentral:rRNA from 1 species